rnacentral:rRNA from 1 species
GAUGAACGCUGGCGGCGUGCCUAAUACAUGCAAGUCGAGUGAACAGACGAGGAGCUUGCUCCUCUGACGUUAGCGGCGGACGGGUGAGUAACACGUGGAUCACCUACCUAUAAGACUGGGAUAACUUCGGGAAACCGGAGCUAAUACCGGAUAAUAUAUUGAACCGCAUGGUUCAAUAGUGAAAGACGGUUUUGCUGUCACUUAUAGAUGGAUCCGCGCCGCAUUAGCUAGUUGGUAAGGUAACGGCUUAUCAAGGCGACGAUGCGUAGCCGACCUGAGGGGGUGAUCGGCCACACUGGAACUGAGACACGGUCCAGACUCCUACGGGAGGCAGCAGUAGGGAAUCUUCCGCAAUGGGCGAAAGCCUGACGGAGCAACGCCGCGUGAGUGAUGAAGGUCUUCGGAUCGUAAAACUCUGUUAUUAGGGAAGAACAAAUGUGUAAGUAACUAUGCACGUCUUGACGGUACCUAAUCAGAAAGCCACGGCUAACUACGUG